CAGACCCUAGUACAUCGGUUCUAGCUGAAAUAAGUAGUGCUUCAUAAACAACACAAAACAUUCAUAACAGUACGCUUCUGCUCCUCAUUAAUGCAGCUCCUGAUGUCCCCAGCAGCAACAUGGUGGAGAUCUGCAGCUUCAUGCUGGUCAACUGGAAGACAACUGAUUAAGAUUAAAAGAUUAAGAUUAAAAUCCAUGUAUUCAUCCAAAACACAUGCACAGACAUGCAAAGGCACACUCAUGCAGGUAGGGACAUUUAAUCGCUGCUUUUUACCCAUCUGGUGCAGGACACACAGAGCAGUGAGCGACCAUGUACGGCACUCGGGGGAGCAGAUGUUGGGGGAGUGAGGUGCCUUGCUCAUGGGCACUAGAGAGGAUGAAGAACUGCAGCACCUGAUGUCCUCAGCAGCAACAUGGUGGAGAUCUGAUUUGAUACACUUUAGAUAAGAACCCAGUGUUUUAUAUUUCUGCUUUGCCAUAAGAGACAGAACAUGGUCAUCACAGCUGUGUCCUUCAGGCUCGUCUGUCCCUAAUAAAAUGAUAGGAAACAUGAAA